GACGAACGCUGGCGGCGUGCUUAACACAUGCAAGUCGUACGGUAAGGCCCUUUCGGGGGUACACGAGUGGCGAACGGGUGAGUAACACGUGAGUAACCUGCCCACAACUUUGGGAUAACGCUAGGAAACUGGUGCUAAUACUGGAUAUGUGCUCCUGCUGCAUGGUGGGGGUUGGAAAGCUCCGGCGGUUGUGGAUGGACUCGCGGCCUAUCAGCUUGUUGGUGGGGUAGUGGCCUACCAAGGCGGCGACGGGUAGCCGGCCUGAGAGGGUGACCGGCCACAUUGGGACUGAUAUACGGCCCAGACUCCUACGGGAGGCAGCAGUGGGGAAUAUUGCACAAUGGGCGCAAGCCUGAUGUAGCAACGCCGCGUGCGGGAUGACGGCCUUCGGGUUGUAAACCGCUUUCAGCAGGGACGAAGCUUUUUGUGACGGUACCUGCAGAAGAAGCACCGGCUAACUACGUG
rnacentral:rRNA from 1 species